UAAACAAAAGAAUAUAGAUGACAUCCUCGGCAGUAAGGACACAAAUCACAAAUAAAUUAGAUCAGAUCAAGCGGUGGUAGAAGGUGAUGAAGGUGUUGCUGGUCGUUGUGGGAGACCACAUUUGGUCAAACAUUCAUCGUAACAAGGUUUGUUUUGUUUGCCACAGGCUAUGGAACAGGUCCUGAAGCAAACGAGCUUUGAAUCUUCUGUUGGUUGGCUCUCAUCAACAUUGGCUCCAUUGCAUGCUUGUAAAACACACCCCAUCAUGAUAAGUGCCAUCACCAUACACAUUUUUCCCGCCAUUUUCUCUUUACAAGUUUAUUAGGACUUGUGUUUUAUUUAAUUAUUAUUGAUAGAUAUGAGAUGUGCAAAUAGGUGGAUGGAGAAGAAGGCGUUUAUAUACUAAAUCUUUGCCUCUAUAUUUAGUAUAUUUGUGUGUGUAGUGUUUUUGUUGUUUGCUAUUUUUGUUUGGUUUGACUUUGAAUAGAGAUUUGUGAUUUCUGUGUAGUUUGACAUAAAUAGGAUUGGCUAACUAUUGUUGGAUUUUCAUAUUGUGAAAAGAGUUAUUAAAACUAUGAAAAUAUAUAGCAAGUACAUGAUCGAAAUGAUCAGAUCAUGUAGGAUUUGUAUUCUCCUAAUUAACUUUGAUAUUAUAAACUAUUAAAAAAGUAUUAUAUUGACGAUUCCGUGGCCGAUAGUCAAUACACUUGUCUUACAAAAAUGCACAUAUGACUGCAUAAUCCUUAACCAGUAAAGUAAAUAUUGUCUCCAUUAACAACGUUUUUUUCUGAAAUUUGAAACUAAGAUCUCUUGAGAUGCAGAACCAUUAAUAAUUCUUUAGUAAAAAAUUUGUUGUCAAAAAUAUAUUUAAAAUGUAACAAGUAGUGAUAGUUAAAAGAAAGAUUUGAGACGAAACAUACUCUGAAUUUGAAUCAUGUCAGAUAUUAAGUUACUGUUGUUGUCUGGCAAAACGAAAAUGAAGUCACAUCCUAGGUCUCAUUAAAAAUUUCAAACUAGAGUAGCUUACUAGUAUUGAUUUAUUUUACUGAAUAAGACAUGUGAUGUAUUUAUUUACACUAUGUAACUCUUUCCGAUACUUAGCUCAAUAAUAUGGAUUUGGUGAAAAACAAAAGUUACAGCAGAAAUAAACAAUGGGAACAAGAACAACAAGAAAGACCACACAAGACACAACACACGGAUUUCAUUAAUCUAGGUAUAUUAUAAAAGGAUUAUAAAAUCUCAUUAGUUCAAAUGAAAUUACAGAAAGUACAAAUCACAAAAUUUCAUCAAAUACAAAAAAAAACAAAAAUAUAUAAUAGGUAAAGAGGUGUAUAAUAAUAAUAACAGUAAUCAUAUGGGUUAUAUAGAAGAAGAAAAAAUACAACCAAGCAGAGACUUCCUUGUAAAGAUGCAACCCCUAAGCUUACCUAUACAAAGUUUCAAAGGAAACAGACAUUAAUCAUCACCAUCACAUACUCAUUUAGUCCUCAAGAUUCUAUAACAGAACUAGAUACAUCAGAACAUGCUUCCACACAGCCUUUUAUUUCAGAUUCAAGUAGCUUUUUUUUUUUACUUUUACAGAUCAAAAGCUGAGUUGUGUUUGAACACACAUAAACAAACGUUCAACCAUCAUUGGCUGCUAGACAUACCUGACCAAUGUAUCAGGUAUCUCUUUACGAUGCUGCUGCCUAGGCUUCAACCUAAAUAAAACGUUCACAGAAUCGUUAACUUGAGAAUCUUAGCAAUAACUUUUCUUUUUUUUUUUUUCAGCUCUUAGCAAUAACUUAAGUGAUAAAAUAAUGCCAUCAUAGCUGCAUGAUUCUUUCUCUUUACAGAACAAUCAUGUAUUCAUGAUUCAAAUCAGUAACCAUUAGUAACAAGUUUCUACAUUACAGGUAGUUCAUUGGAGUCUUUAAUUUUCUACUGACUAUUAGAUAUUAAAGAAUGGCACAACUAUUGUUUUCUUUUUACCUUCUCAGCUUCAGGAGAAAAGACUGCCUUCACCUCCUGAAACACAUCUUCAAUAGGCUUUGCGGCAUGAAUCUAAAGCCAAGUAUUAGAAACAACAAAACUUUGUUACACAACUUACAAUUGCUGGACCGUAAUACAGUAAAAACUAGAAGAAAAAAAGAUUUUCACCUUGCGAACUUUGCCCUUAGCUUCGUAGUACUGAAUCACUGGCAAGCUAGAUUCAAGAAACACCUUGAAACGCUUCCUUAUAGUCUCUAUAUUGUCAUCCUCUCUCCCCUUCAACACCAGAAACGGAUGCAACAAUCAACAUACAUGAAACAAGAGGCUACACAGAGUAAAAGAAACAGAGCUUUUCAUAUCACACUAACCUGGUUUCUUCCCAAGAGGCGCCUCUCCAUCUCUUCCUCAGGACAAUCAAAGAACAAGACAAACUUGGGUUCAAUCCCAGUCUACAAACAUCAUCAAACGCAUGUAAUCAUUAAGCAAUUGUGUCAGCAAAAAAAAGAAAAAAAAAACAUAACACUUUUAAAAUUUUGUAAAUAUACUUACAACUUUUUCAAAGGCUGCUCGGUUCUCCUCAUUGCGAGGGAAGCCAUCAAUGAGGAACUUGUCAUUGCCAUUCUCCUGAAUUGCUUUCUGGAGAAGCUUGAUUGUAACCUCAGAAGGUACAAUCUUCCCUUCUUUAAUCAUAUUCUGGAUCAUAGUCCUGCAACACCAUUUUAAAGGACAAAACAUAAAAAUCACAUAAAUAAAGUCAGAACCGAUUCAAUAAACAACCUCAAGAAGGAUGAUGAAUGUGAAGCUGACUCCUCAAGUUUUUAGUUUAUAAGACAAUGCCAGAAAGUUUUUAAGGGCAUACCCAUUUUCAGAACCUGAUUUAAUUUCAGCCCUGAGAAGGUCUCCAGCACUCAGAUGUGUGCAACCAAAAUGGUCAACAAUAUAGGCACACUGUGUACCUUUCCCACUGCCUGGACCACCUGGAAUCAAAAGUAGUAUCUAACUCAGAAAAUCUACAAUAAACUUUUCAAUAACUCGACCAAAAAUCACUUCUCAUUAAACAUAAUAACAAUAUAAUCUACUGUUUUGUCCUUAACCAUCAUGUUUGUGGUUUUUUUACUAAUAGCAUAAAAAACCACAAACAUGAUGGCGGGAAAGUAACGGUUUUAGCAAACACACAUGAGAAGACCUCCUGAACUUACCAAGGACAAAAAUAACAGCGGGUCUCUUCUCACUUGCGGUUCCAUUCACCUCCUGUAAGAAAAAAAUACACCAAAAAGACAAACUUUAAAAUAGGUUUAACAAAUAUAUCUACAAAGCAGAACAAGCACUAGUAUGUUUUUUUUAAAAGAUUGUUUAUUAGAGUUCAUGUCUAAGUGUGGAAUCAUUUACCUUGUUUGCAGCAUCAGCAAUGGAUCCCAUGGUACUAUUAAGCAACUCGUUCAAAUGUUACCUGAGAAGAAGGAAUCUAAAUGAGUUUCCAGAGAACACAUUUCACAAAAAAAAAAAAAAAAAAUCAUGCAAUAGAUCAAAACGAGCAGAUCUAAGUGCUAAGCAUUUAUAGAAGAAGAGGAAAAGUCAGAUCCAAGGGAAUAAAAAGUUGCAAACUUUGAAACAGCUUUCUACUACACAACACAUGCGAAAGAAAAGAUUAAAAAAAAUGAUGUAAGAAUAGAACAAUGCUGACGUAUAUAGAUCAAGACAAGAGAAUCCAGAUCCGACGUGAGUCAAUCAGAUCGGAUGCAAAAAGAAAGACAAUGGACAAAGGAAACAAAUGUCUAAGAAGAAUCCAAGACGAAUCGAUACCCAGAAUUGGAAUUCAACAGAUGAAGAUCUAAUAAAGAUGCAAGCUUUGGACGAAAUGUGAGAUCUGAGUAUUGGAAGAGAAUGAUAUGAAUCAAAGACACAAACCCAUUACAUAUGUUUUUUUUUUUUUGAGAUUGAGAGAUAAUUUUCAGACAAGAAUAAGAAACUGUGGAAGAGAUGUUUUUAGAAAGAUCUGAGUAAAGAAAAAAGCGAACCUGAAGACGGAGAAAGUUUUUGAUUAAUCGCUGAGAAUGUGAGAGAUGAGGAAGCAGAGGCAAGCUAUAUAUAUAUUUAUAUUUAAUACAUUCGUUUUAAUUAUUAUUUAAUCUUAUGUUGGUUACUAAUUAAGGAACAAUUAAUUUCAGUCCAUGUGUCUCUGUUACCUUUAAUUUAAACCAAGAUUUUGAUGUAGUACUAUUUAAACUGACAGAAAAAAACAAAUUGUUGACACACACAAAAAAAAAACUGACAAAAAUAUUUCUUGUAGUAUUGUCAUAAGAAUUGUAUCAUACACUAGAGAAAUAUGACGAUUCAAGUUGAAUAAAUAAGCUUUACUUUAUAUAUGAAGGCUUUACAAAAACCAAUGGUUGUCACAUCUGAACCAUGUCUUGCUCUUUAUUUGGUUAUGCUCUAGACCGGAAUGUGACCUUAUGCCUAAGCGUCAAACUAGCUUAGCACAUUACACAUGUGCCUUGCGUAAACGCUAAUUGUCAAUGAAUGAAGUGAUAAUAGAUUGCUAGUAGCACAUGUGGUUUGCUUUCAAUUCCUAGUUUGAACAUAGUUAUGAUAUAGCUAUGAAGGGUCGAGGAGGAAUUGAAGGCACAUCAUAAAAAGUCAAAAAGUCCAAGAAAUGACUAAGUACGGUACGGGGAACCUGAGGCUGGAGAGAUCGAGGUUCCCGAGGAGUACCACACCUUUAGGGAUCACACGUGAGUUUUUCGUGAGUCUUCUUCAAAUUAAGAGCUUUGAUGUCUCUCUUGUGAUACUAAAAUUUGAUAAAAUAGAUUUUGUUUCUACGUCGCACUUUUUUGUAGGCCAAGAUACAUCGGAUUUAACUAAACAUGUUAGCUCUAUUCACGUGACACAUCGCUGCUUUUCAUGAAGCGUUAUUCGUUUCGCUACAAAGCAUCCUGACUCGUUAAGAAAAUGGCCGAGGUGAUGAUGUCUUUAUAAAUCAUAAUAAACGUGACCAAAUUUUUGAAUCAUGAACCGAAAAUAUCAAACAACUAUAUAUUAUAUAUGUAAGUUAAGCAUGGUCACUUGCUCGGAAACUUUUAUCGAAAUUGGUAUUGGUGAUUACUAUAUUCUGAAGUAAGAAUAUUACGAACUAUAAGUAUAUGUUAUAGAAAACAUGUGAAGACUUAACAAAAAUCACUAACAAAUAGUGUAGAUUAACUAGGUUUGUACAUGAAAGUCAAGUCUGUGGAGAAUCGACAAAAGUUUGGAGAUGGUGAGAGGUUUCUCUUGAAAGUCAUUAAGACCAGCUUCCAUAAACUCUUUCUUAUCUCCUUCGUUAGCUCUAGUUGUUACUCCUGCUAUCUUGCUCUCUAUCCCCAUCUCUCUUAGUCUCUUUGUCGCCUAAUCAAACAAAACACAGUCCAUUAGUUAUACAUAUAAACCAUCGGUUCUAUUUUUAAGAAAAUAAUAAAAAGGGUACUGCACAUUAUUAAUAAACAAAACUGUAUUAAGGAGUCUUAUUCCAACAUUUAACUAGAACAGUUUCAUACAACUUCUUUUACUAAGGUUUAUGGAUAUGAAAAUUCUCAAAUAAAAAUUAAUUAGUAAUAACUUAUUCUUUUCUGAAUUUUAUAACAAAAAAUAAGAAUUGAAUAAACGAAGUGAAUUUAAUGAGCUAAAAAUAUAAUAAAUUAAUAUUACCUGAAUACCGUUCAAGAUGGGCAUUUCCAUGUCCAUAAGAAUAAGAUCAUAGUUUCUCCCGGAACAAUGAACGUCGACAGCUUCUUGGCCGUUGCAAACGACGUCAUUUUUAAUACCUAGACGGUCCAGCAGUUUGUGAUGCAUGGUUUGAUUUACAAAGUUGUCAUCGACGACCAAAGCUGUUAACUUCGACUCUGCCAAGCUUGGAACUUCAUCAGCCAUCUCUCUCGUUAUCUUUCUUUCUUGUGAGCAACAAAUAUUACAGAACUCUUAAGAAAAUAUUUUGUGGAAACUCAAAAAUAUAUAUGUUGAAUAUUUAAAGGAGAAAGAAAUUGUGAAAAAAAAUCAGCUGGAUUAAUUGUGUUUUUGGAUUCGGAGGAGAUCUAGUGAUCUUUCUACUUUUUCCAUUUUGGGUACUUUACAUGAUUUUACAUUUUUUUCAAGAUCCUUUAACUUAUGUAGGGUUUAGAUUGAUCGCUUGAGAUUCUAAUUAGCCAAAACACCAAGUGAGCAACAUACAUGAAUAGCAAAUAAUCAUUAUAUGAUUUUAUGAUUACAAACUAUAAAAGUUACAUAUACAUACAUAUAGCAAGAAAUAUCACGUCAUAUGUUCAACUUUUGAUUCAGUUUUAAUUCAUAAAAUAAACAAAAUCUAAUAUUUCUUUGCAAGUUCUGAGAUUAUCAUAUAUCUAUUGUAUUUUUUUUUAAGGAAAAUAACACAAUGAUAUGACAAAAUCUUGUGUAUAUUAUAAAAAUAUUAAGUCUAUAUAAAAACGAUUAUCUAUUUCAUAAAUUAAAAUCUGAUAAUUCUACAAACGUGACUAAAAAAUAUAGUAAUUACAUAUAUGGAGAAUUGUUUUCGGACAUUUUUAUUAUAGUUCGCUUUAUAGCACAUAAAAAAAAAAUAUUCUGCAGAGGUUGUGGCCUUGACUGAACGAUGUAAACAUCUUCACCAACCAAACAACCUUCAACAUCUUGUGCACAUCCAAAGUUCCUUUCAAGAAGAAACCAACCAAACCGUCUUUGACCUAGCUUCUGUCUAAACAAUGAGUCAGCCGUUUCGUGUGUUUUGAAUUGUGAUUCUGUGAUCACAUAUGUUUUGACAGAAGGAACAAUAUCAUGAUAAUUGAAUUGUUUCGUUUUAAUAUAAUCAAAAUUGUUUAUUUAGUGGUUUUAUUUGAAAGAAAGCUAACGAGUCUUGAAUCAUUUUAUGCUGGAACGUACUAACUAGUUUGUAUAAGUCAAGAAAAAACCAGAUAUAUAAUCAAAAACUUUAUCAUAUAAAUCUCAUUUAAUUUUCAUGCUAAAGAAAAACAAAUAGAUGACAUCCUUAGCAAUAAAGACACAAAUCACAAAUUGAAUAAGAUCAGAUCAAGCGGUGGAGGAAGGUGAUGAAGAUGUUGUUGGUCUAGGAAGUCUCUGUGGGAGACCACAUUUGGUCAAACAUUCAUCGUAACAAGGUUUGUUUUGUUUGCCACAGGCUAUGGAACAUGUUCUGAAGCAAUCGAAUUUUGGAUCUUGUGUUGGUUGGCUCUCAUCAACAUUGGCUCCAUUGCAUGCUUGUAAAACACACCCUAUCAUUAUCAAUGCCAUCACCAUACACACUUUUCCCGCCAUUUUCUCUUUAC
rnacentral:lncRNA from 1 species